UACGGGGGGGGCAAGCGUUGUUCGGAAUUACUGGGCGUAAAGGGCUCGUAGGCGGCCAACUAAGUCAGACGUGAAAUCCCCAGGCUUAACCUGGGAACUGCGUCUGAUACUGGAUGGCUUGAAUCCGGGAGAGGGAUGCAGAAUUCCAGGUGUAGCGGUGAAAUGUGUUGAUAUUGGAAGGAACACCGGAGGCGAAAGCGGUGUACUGGGGCUGGUCUGACGCUGAGGCACGAAAGCCAGGGGAGCGAACGGG
rnacentral:rRNA from 1 species